AUUCUGGCUGAGUUCUGUCGUUUAUCAAGCAAAAAUCUGCAAGCAGAGUUCUUCAAAGAACUCGACAAAUGCACUCCUCCUCUCUUCCUGGAGAUGUCCAAGUCCAAGGAUGGAAGUGUCAGCCAGAAACUUAAUGAAUAUCUGCACAAGUCACACCAGGGGAAGUGUGUGUGUGUGUGUGUUUGAGAUAUUUGUUUGAGUACAGAUGUGACUGGGAAGCGAACGGCAGUCCUCCGUGGCCUUCCUGUCAUCCUUGGAGAUGAGAACGCACACUUCUUCAAGACAGGCUUUGACUCCGGUGACCUUCUGGACAUGUGUCCCACACCUCCAUGGGGAUCCUGACAGUGAAUGCUGAAGACACUGUGGCCUCUCCUCACUCGCUGCACCUGGAGUACAGCUACUGCCAUCGUUUUGGACGGAACAGUAGUGAUGGGUUACCAUGACAAUCUUCCACAUGCCAUGUGCCUACUCUUCGGACUUAUUACAAUAUGGAUUGUGGAGGUUGUUCAUACAUUCUGUCAUAUUCAUUGAAUGUUUUGUAACUCUGUAAUACUGUUCAUCUGUACACAUGACAUCUAUUGCUUCUGUCCAUCCGGGGAGAGGGAUCCUCCUCUGUUGCUCUCCUGAAGGUUUCUUCCCUUUUUUCCUUGUCAAAUGUUUUUUUUCUAUUUCUUGGAAGUUUUUCCUGAUCCGAUGUGAGGUCAAAGGUCAGGGAUGUCGUAGUGUACAGAUUGUAAAGCCCUCUGAGGCACUCAAACAUCUACUGAUGCAGUAAGGGACUGUCUUCACGAUGUGCAUGAUAUGUGACAUGCCGGGUUUUCUGUAGUGGAAUUUUGCAAAUGCCAAAACUGUGUUUAUCAUAGUCUGUGUUCCAAAACUUAAUCUAGCAACACGUCAAGCAUUUUAAGCACGUUGUUUGAGUUUAAGAAAAUGUGUGAGGACAAAAACUCAAAAAUACAUUUGUUUUUCUUAUAAAUAAACGUUGUCUUCCAUUA